UGCAGUCGCGCGGAUGAAGGGAGCUUGCUCCUGGAUUCAGCGGCGGACGGGUGAGUAAUGCCUAGGAAUCUGCCUGGUAGUGGGGGACAACGUUUCGAAAGGAACGCUAAUACCGCAUACGUCCUACGGGAGAAAGCAGGGGACCUUCGGGCCUUGCGCGGAUAGAUGAGCCGAUGUCGGAUUAGCUAGUUGGCGGGGUAAAGGCCCACCAAGGCGACGAUCCGUAGCUGGUCUGAGAGGAUGAUCAGCCACACUGGAACUGAGACACGGUCCAGACUCCUACGGGAGGCAGCAGUGGGGAAUAUUGGACAAUGGGCGCAAGCCUGAUCCAGCCAUACCGCGUGGGUGAAGAAGGCCUUCGGGUUGUAAAGCCCUUUUGUUGGGAAAGAAAAGCAGCCGGCUAAUACCCGGUUGUUCUGACGGUACCCAAAGAAUAAGCACCGGCUAACUUCGUGCCAGCAGCCGCGGUAAUACGAAGGGUGCAAGCGUUACUCGGAAUUACUGGGCGUAAAGCGUGCGUAGGUGGUUGUUUAAGUCUGUUGUGAAAGCCCUGGGCUCAACCUGGGAAUUGCAGUGGAUACUGGGCGACUAGAGUGUGGUAGAGGGUAGUGGAAUUCCCGGUGUAGCAGUGAAAUGCGUAGAGAUCGGGAGGAACAUCCAUGGCGAAGGCGGCCCUCUGGGCCUGUCCUGACGCUGAGGCGCGAAAGCGUGGGGAGCAAACAGGAUUAGAUACCCUGGUAGUCCACGCCCUAAACGGUGGGCACUAGAGUGUGGGGUCCAUAUGGACUCUGUGCCGAAGGGNAAACCAUUAAGUGCCCCGCCUGGGGAGUAGACCGCAANGGUUGAAACUCAAAGGAAUUGACGGGGGCCCGCACAAGCGGUGGAGCAUGUGGUUUAAUUCGAUGCAACGCGAAGAACCUUACCUGGGCUUGACAUGCUGGUGGUAGGAACCCGAAAGGGGGACGACCCUGGGGGCAACCUCAGGGAGCCAGCACAGGUGCUGCAUGGCUGUCGUCGGCUCGUGCCGUGAGGUGUUGGGUUAAGUCCCGCAACGAGCGCAACCCCUAUCCCCUGUUGCCAUCGGGUAAUGCCGGGCACUCUGGGGAAACUGCCGGCGACAAGCCGGAGGAAGGUGGGGAUGACGUCAAGUCCGCAUGGCCCUUAUGCCCAGGGCUACACACGUGCUACAAUGGGCGCUACAAAGGGUUGCGAACCCGCGAGGGGGAGCCAAUCCCUAAAAAGCGCUCUCAGUUGGGAUCGGAGUCUGCAACUCGACUCCGUGAACCCGGAAUCGCUAGUAAUCGCGCAUCAGCUACGGCGCGGUGAAUACGUUCCCGGGCCUUGUACACACCGCCCGUCACACCACGAGAGCUGGCUUCAUCCGAAGUUGGUGAGCUAACCCGCAAGGGAGGCAGCCAACGAAGA
rnacentral:rRNA from 1 species